CCGAAGUAUGCAAAACAUUUCUCUUUUAUGGUCUUGUUUUGCCUGCCUUACAGCAAACCACCAGACGUUUCGAAUACACAGACUCCAGACGUCUCGAAUACACAGACUCUCAAAGGAAGCAAAUCACCACACCGUGCCUGGGUGUUAAUUCCCUCUUUUCCACGUGUUAUAUGGGAUGGCCGGUAAUUGUAAAAGGUGGGAGAAAAUAGGUGUCAUUGGGCCGGCGAUGAGGCACAACUAGGCCAGGGGGUGGAGGUGCGAAUUCCUCGUGCUGGGACCAACAAUGGGUAUUUAAUACAGUAAGUUAAAAGCCAAAUAAUAAGAAGACAACGAAGAAAGACCGUUACAGUAGUGUCUGAUAUAUUUUAUGUAUUUGUAGAAUAAAAUAAAAUUAUCAAGAUAUAUUAACCAAAAACGCAUUUAAUGGUUAAAGAAUUUAACCCACCCCAAUAAUGAAUAAUGAAAUUAAAUAUCCCAGAAUGCACCCACAGACAUCUUGAAUUAA